rnacentral:rRNA from 1 species
UACAGAGGGCUCAAGCGUUGUUCGGAUUCAUUGGGCGUAAAGGGUGCGUAGGUGGCAUGGUAAGUCGGAUGUGAAAUCCCGGGGCUCAACCCCGGAACUGCAUUCGAUACUGCUGAGCUAGAGUACUGGAGAGGAGAUUGGAAUUUACGGUGUAGCAGUGAAAUGCGUAGAUAUCGUAAGGAAGACCAGUGGCGAAGGCGGAUCUCUGGACAGUUACUGACACUGAGGCACGAAGGCCAGGGGAGCAAACGGG